UUUGGCAAUCUCAGCCAUCCAACGGCCGAAAGCCAACGAUACCCACGCUACCGACAGCCAUCCAUGACCAUAGUCCAUACAUAUCAUCAGGAGGCAUCUCUUAGCUCCAGACUUAACUUCUUUUUCUUUUGAUGUCCUCGAUUGUGAGUGAAAUCGGUCUGGGAAACCGUCAAGGCCUCCCGAUUAAUCAAAAAAUGCCUAAAGGAUGAGAUUUUUUGUUGCUCUAUCGCGUUCGCAACCUAAUCUCUCUCGCUGUUCUCCCUCUUUGAUAGAAGGUUUCCAGAUGUAAACAACACCGCCACAGCCCUCCAUCGAUUGAAGGUUUCUGUGCUCUCCCUCUCAAUUGAAGCAGGUUCUGCCGAAGUGAUGAACGAGUUUUGAGUCAUUGGAUGCUCCUUAUGAUGUCAGAGCACGUGAUGGUUUCCAAACAUUCUUAAAGAUGCACUUGUCAGUCUGACCCUUAAGCAAGAGAGGAGACUCGAUUGCUGUCUUUGAAGGAGGAAAGUCUACAAUAUGCUUACUAAAUUCAUACAACAAUGAUAGACGAGCUUCAUAUAGUAUAGACAUAUUGCAUACAGUGUUAGAUCAGUUGUUUAUGUACUAUUGCAUGAGUUGGUUGGAAACCGGUCUACAACUGCAUGGAACUUGUCUACUAUUUAUAUGGAGCGGUAUGCUUAAACGCCAUUGAGCAGAUAUGUGCACGUUGCAGGAAUAUGGGCCGGUAUAUCUACUCUGGGUCACACAUAGUUGUUCUCACAUUGGUCAAAAGAUCCAGAAUGGCAAGCCCGCCGGAUGGCUUUUACUCCUUUUGCAGGCGAAUUAGUGGAGGUCGGGCGUACAUGACAUUUGAGGCAUAUUUGUCACUACUUCCGCAGUACCAGGAUCAAGGAGCACCCCCAUGAAGCAGGAGAAAGAAACAACAAUCGUCUACUCGUCUACUCGUUUAGUUUUUAUUUUCUGUUGCCAAGUUAGAACCUAAGCCCAGUCUGAUUCAACCCUGAAAUAUUUUGUAUAUGUAGGUCAUAUGCAGUCUCUUCUCAGAAAUUCAGAAUAUGUACUUAUAAGACCCACUAUAUGUCUUGAAAUAUAUUGCAGAUCAAUCUAUCUCGUUAACGUAGAAUGAAGAAGUCAUCACUACAAAAUCCUUUCAAUUAA